GAUGAACGCUGGCGGCGUGCCUAAUACAUGCAAGUCGAGCGAACAGACGAGGAGCUUGCUCCUCUGACGUUAGCGGCGGACGGGUGAGUAACACGUGGAUAACCUACCUAUAAGACUGGGAUAACUUCGGGAAACCGGAGCUAAUACCGGAUAAUAUGUUGAAUCGCAUGGUUCAACAGUGAAAGACGGUCUUGCUGUCACUUAUAGAUGGAUCCGCGCCGCAUUAGCUAGUUGGUAAGGUAACGGCUUACCAAGGCAACGAUGCGUAGCCGACCUGAGAGGGUGAUCGGCCACACUGGAACUGAGACACGGUCCAGACUCCUACGGGAGGCAGCAGUAGGGAAUCUUCCGCAAUGGGCGAAAGCCUUACGGAGCAACGCCGCGUGAGUGAAGAAGGUCUUCGGAUCGUAAAACUCUGUUAUUAGGGAAGAACAAAUGUGUAAGUAACUAUGCACGUCUUGACGGUACCUAAUCAGAAAGCCACGGCUAACUACGUG
rnacentral:rRNA from 1 species